UUUUUUUUUUAUUUUUUAAUUUUUCUUCUGGUUCACAACAUUCCUUUGGAACCAAUAGGAAAUAUUGCAGUUUUAGAUGCCUAAUUUCCAACUUGAUCUUAAAUCACUUAUACAGGUCUAGCAAUUCUCAGGAUCAGAAAUGCAACCUGGGGAAAUGCUUCUCUGAUAAAAGAAAAUUGAAGAACCUUGGAGUGUCCAUGAGAAAUGAACCAUAACCAAAGACAGUUCCUUUGAGAAAAAUUUCAUUGAACAGCAACAGUAUACUUGCCACAUCUAAGGAGGGGAGGAGGGGCCCAUCUGUGCUCACCCCACUGCUUCAGGGUCCUUCUAACAAAGAGAUUGUGCUGCGGUGGCCCCAAGAACCUUCCAGCAGGCAAUGCCUGCUGCUUUGGAAGUAUUCAGAAGUUGCAAUGCUGGGAACCAAGAUGUCAGGUUAUUGAAAGGAGAGGAACUACCAGAUAGAACCUGGCUUUGUAGAGCAAAUAAAGUUCUUUGUUCAAAUGUUCGAAAUGCCAAGAACCUGGACCCUCCACUGGUAAGAACCAGACCUCAAGUCCAGAUCUUCCUUGUGGACAGGACAGAACCAAGGCCCAGCUCCCUCCUGACCCGUAGCCACAGAUGUGAUUCUGGCCGUGAAGCCCCCUUAACCCCAUGUUUUAACCACCGGAGUUAAAUGACUGCUAAGUAGGUGUGAGGCAGAAAAGGAAACAGGCUACAUGAUUAAAACACGAG
rnacentral:lncRNA from 1 species